rnacentral:lncRNA from 1 species
CACUCUCGAUCACUCAAUGGAAAGCCCAAAAACUCCAUUGUCAAGAUCAAAGGUUCUACUCUAUGAAAGCUUUGAAAAAUCUAAAACUAAAGCAAGAGAAUUGAAAACCUAAUCUAAGUAGCGUCCAUCACCCCCUACUCUUAUUCUACUCAUUACAAGACUCCCCCUUUCUAUAGGGAGAGUCAGAAAAUGAAGAAAUGAAAGAAAAUGGGAAAGGGGAGGAAAUUCAAACUAACUCGGAAGCUUCGCGCUCUCGUUCUUCAACUAACUCUAAAUCGUUCAAAAACCGUCGACUACUUCACACAUGCUUCCAACCAUGAAUUUGACCAAUCAAUCCUCUUUUGGUUAGCUUCAUCUUGUCUGAACAUCAUUUUGGGCUUCGUCCACAGUGAUCCAUGGAACUCACAUCACUUCUUCUCCUCCUCGCUGACAAACACUAACUCCAAGUGUUGGGAGAAUUGGGAGAAAACCCCAAAUGAUUCUGUCUCUACACGAAUGAAGCGUAAAGCAAGAGACCCCUCUUCAGCUUUGCAUAAUUUUAAAGUCAUAUCUCCUCUUACAACUUAACUAACCUCGUAUUUUUUUUUUAAAAAUGUAUCCAAUAUAAAUCAAUAAAAAUUGCACUAUUUUAGUAAAUAAAUUGAAGUUUCAUCCAAAAUGGAGAAAGGGGAGGUCUAUAAAGUGCGAACCUCAGCUAGUCUUUUAAGCCAUUCACGUUCUCAGAUUUUGAAUUCAUGGCCAUUGAGAUCCUUAAAGCUUUUGAGUACCACUUAAUUGGGACAAUUGAAAACAUAUAUGCCUGAUCUAUGAUCACGAGAUCUAGAUACCGUCUUGAAGUACCUUCCCGUUAAUGAAGAACUUCUUGUUGAAAGGUAAGGCAAAAGUUGAAGCCUAUGGCAAUGGGACACGUUUAAAUAUGCUA